rnacentral:rRNA from 1 species
AGUGAACGCUGGCGGUAGGCCUAACACAUGCAAGUCGAACGGCAGCACAGUAAGAGCUUGCUCUUACGGGUGGCGAGUGGCGGACGGGUGAGGAAUGCAUCGGAAUCUACUUUUUCGUGGGGGAUAACGUAGGGAAACUUACGCUAAUACCGCAUACGACCUACGGGUGAAAGCAGGGGAUCUUCGGACCUUGCGCGAUUGAAUGAGCCGAUGUCGGAUUAGCCAGUUGGCGGGGUAAAGGCCCACCAAGGCGACGAUCCGUAGCUGGUCUGAGAGGAUGAUCAGCCACACUGGAACUGAGACACGGUCCAGACUCCUACGGGAGGCAGCAGUGGGGAAUAUUGGACAAUGGGCGCAAGCCUGAUCCAGCCAUACCGCGUGGGUGAAGAAGGCCUUCGGGUUGUAAAGCCCUUUUGUUGGGAAAGAAAAGCAGCAGGUUAAUACCCCGCUGUUCUGACGGUACCCAAAGAAUAAGCACCGGCUAACUUCGUG